AGAGGGGUUAGUAUACUCUAUAUUACCUAUUCUUGUCAAGAACAGAAAAUAGGAUUGAACCCUAUACCCCUCUA
rnacentral:tRNA from 1 species